AUGUCAUAUUUGAGCAACAACAGAUAUGGCAGUAGUACUUCCUCUGAGGUAUCUUCCUAUUUUUGUAAUGAAGCUGACUUAAUUUUAUGCAUGAAUGCAGGUCGGUUUAUUUUAAUUUAUCGUUUGUUAUUUGGUCUGGAUAUAUGUAGAGCUGUAAAUACUCACGAGCUGGUUCUGGAUUUGAUCUUUUUUCUUCCGGUGUUUUCCCUUUUAUUAUCAGACUUUGGAUAA